CCUACGGGAGGCAGCAGUGAGGAAUAUUGGUCAAUGGGCGAGAGCCUGAACCAGCCAAGUCGCGUGAAGGAUGACGGCCCUACGGGUUGUAAACUUCUUUUGUCAGGGAGCAAUUGGGUCCACGCGUUGGCUUAGCGAGAGUACCUGAAGACAAAGCAUCGGCUAACUCCGUGCAAGCAGCCGCGGUAAUACGGAGGAUGCGAGCGUUAUCCGGAUUUAUUGGGCGAAAAGGGUGCGUAGAUGGCAUAGUAAGUCUUUUGGAAAAAUGCUGGGCUCAAGCCAGUAGGGCAAAAGAUACUGGAAAGCUGGAGUGUGACAGAGGCAAGUGGAACUACAGGUGUAGGAGUAAAAUGCGUAAAUAUAUGUAGGAACACCAGUGGCGAAGGCGGCUUGCUGGGUCGAUACUGACAUUGAGGCACGAAAGCGUGGGGAGCAAACAGGAUUAGAUACCCUUGUAGUC
rnacentral:rRNA from 1 species